GGACCAUGUGAAACAGCUAAUGUUAGGACG
rnacentral:piRNA from 1 species